rnacentral:misc_RNA from 1 species
GCCGGCUGGCUCCGUGCCCGUCCGCCGAACGGCCGGCAGGCGAUCCGUGUCGGUCGCGCGAGGUGCUUUAUGUAUGGUUUACCCGGAGGAUGGUUCUUGUGUUGCCUACCCCUUCAGGGGAAGCGCAGGCAGUUGAUGUAGGCCUCCAUCCGGCGCCCUCCGAUGGGGCGCCGGAGGACAGCGUAGCGCCCCCCGCGUUCCACCGAGCCCUCGUCGGUCGCGUGGCCCGCGGGGACGUGCGAUGCUCUCGGACCCAGCGCACGCCGUGGGCGAGGACUCACGUCCAAGUCCCAAGANAAGCUUCUAUGCAAUGUAUNACGGCCGCUCCCGCCCCACGACCGCCCCGGCGGCGCGGGGGCGCGGCGCGGCGUCGCGGAGGAAUGCUACCUGGUUGAUCCUGCCA